CACUAAUUUGGAAAUAGAGUUAGCAUUCAAAUAUCCCCAAAACAUGUCGCACAAAUAGAUGCACUGAAAGAGCAAAAGUGAUAGUGAGCACAGACAGUUAAACAAAGAUGGAAGAGUUGAUGGAGAGGGAAACAUGCAGAGAGAUGGGCAGGAGAGGUGACCUUACCUUGGCUGGUGUCUGAGCGUCUGCCACUGUUGGGCUCCAUCAAGAUAUCUUAUAGUGGAGCGCUGUUGACUCAUCGCUUACUCACCUCUCUCCGAACCCCAUUCCCCCUCAUCCACCCCCCUCGCUUACCUCUCCCCAUCCCACACCACUCAAUCCCCUGGUGGUGCUGCAGGACACAUCACAGAAGUUACACCACAUUUUUGAUGGAUCUGUGGUAUCUGUGGUGUUGCUGAUUAAAGGUUAAUCAACAUGUUUCUGCCUUUUUCUCAGCUGCAAGAGGCUCCUCAUAUAAAGGGAUCAAUCCGGCUGCAUCCCUGCAGGACAAGAAGUCACCUCCUGGAGUAUGACAGAAGGACACUGCAAGGCUUCAUUAAUAAUUCAUGAGGACUUUGUGUCACAUGACUUUUGGGAACAUGUGAGUCACAUCCUCAGAAAAAGUGUGUGCCCCUCUUUUGUCAAACUCUACACACCGGGACGCACAGUAAAAUGUAUGCACCGUAUCCAUUAACCCUUUAAGGUUAGGAGAAGGAAUAUAAUUGCUUUACCAGUAAAUGCUGUAGAAUUAAAUGCAGGACAAAAGGUUAACAAAGUGUUUCUGACCCGUCCCUUGUAACGCCGGCUGAGUCGUGUUAAUGGGCCUAGUGCAGUAUCAGAUGACUCUUCCAGAUGCUGCAUGGAAACCAGGAAUUCCACUCAGCAGGAUUUGCCUGGAUGAGUCACAGGAAUGAUGGGAAUUCGAAUUCAUUGAUCCUGCAUAUGCUGCCAUUCAGGACAAUGUGCUGUUUUCUCCCCCAGACGCUUCAGUGACGUUAACACUCGUAAAGUGUGUCUGCAAAGACCUGAAUCAGCGCUUCCUUGUGGGGCGACUUCACAGUGAGUCUCCUGUCUUGCAGAAGUCUAGUCACAGAAAGCUCAGUCUUUCAGAAUAUACUAGGUUCGUCAACACUGGCAGCACAAGUUGUUCAUAUAUUUCAAAUGGCACUAAUGCCAACAAAAGGGACCUAUUGCAAAGGAUUAAGGGAGUAUUGAGGAACUUAACGCUUGAGUGAAUUCAUGCAGACUAUAACUUGCGACAAGUUAUGCAAUGUCCAAAAUACUUUAGGGUUUGCGGGUCACUGAUGCUCUUUCCCAUCAGCAUAUUAUCAGGAGGCUUUAUAUCUCUCUAGGUGUUAAAUAAUACAUUUGAAACACAUUUAUGGUAAUCCCUGUUCCAGCCUCUCGGUUCCCUGCAGUGUAAAAAGUUUAAGCCAAGUUUCUGAGACUGACAAUAAAUCAGCCUUCUUUUUUUGGACUUUAAUUCUCAAGAAGAAGUUUGCUUCCAAAUGCACCAACUGCCUUAAUGCUAACUUCCUGGAAUGUGCCUAUUGAAAGGGUAGAUGCAUUAUCAAAUACAGGUCUACAGCUGGAAACAGUUGCAAACAAUAGAGGCAUGGAAAAUAAGAGGCCUCAGCAGGAUGAGAUAAACAAGCUGACUUACAGAAAAGUAAAUAUCUGGAUUUAUAAGGUCAGAUAUACUUAGACAACACAUCUAGAACUAAACCAUAAUGCAACAAACACACAUGCAUUCAGAUAGUUCAGUAGUAAUCCAUAUUGUACCUAACAUGGAUGGACUGAUCCUAACAGUACUGACACUGUAGUGUUUGGGAAUUGAUACCAAUAUGAAUAGGACCAAUAAAACUAACUGCAUUCUGAACACAUGAACACUCUUCCAGGGAAUGCAGCGCUUUCAUGUGCAUAGUUUAGUUUACAUAGCGCACAUAACUAGCAUCUGUCAUUUACCACUGAAAUCUGUGUUUCAA